rnacentral:tRNA from 3 species
GAGGGUUUAGCUCAGCUGGGAGAGCGCCGUGCAUGGACUGCAAGAGGGUCACCGUGAUCAGAAUCGGCCCGGUAAUCUCCACCA